rnacentral:pre_miRNA from 1 species
AAAAUACUCCCUCCUUCCUAAAAUUCUUGUCUUAGAUUUAUCUAGAUAUGAAUGUAUCUAGUCACGUUUUAGUAUUUAGAUACAUCCAUUUCUAGACAAAUUUAAGACAAGAAUUUUGGGACGGAGGGAGUAUAUA